UACGGAGGGGGCGAGCGUUAUUCGGAAUUAUUGGGCGUAAAGGGCGCGUAGGCGGCUUCAUAAGUCAAAGGUGAAAUCCCUCGGCUCAACUGAGGAACUGCCUUUGAAACUGUGGAGCUUGAGGCCGGGAGGGGGUAGCGGAAUUCCCAGUGUAGCGGUGAAAUGCGUAGAUACUGGGAGGAACACCGGUGGCGAAGGCGGCUACCUGGACCGGUUCUGACACUGAGGCGCGAAAGCGUGGGGAGCAAACAGG
rnacentral:rRNA from 1 species